GAUGAACGCUGGCGGCGUGCCUAAUACAUGCAAGUCGAGCGAACAGACGAGGAUCUUGCUCCUCUGACGUUAUCGGCUGACAGGUGUGUAACACGUGUAUAACCUACCUAUAUGACUGGGAUAACUUCGGGAAACCGGAGCUAAUACCGGAUAAUAUAUUGUACCGCAUGGUUCUAUAGUUAAAUACGUUUUUUCUUUCUCUUAUAGAUGGUUCCGCGCCGCAUUAGCUAGUUGGUAAGGUAACGGCUUACCAAGGCAACGAUGCGUAGCCGACGUGAGAGGGUGAUCGGCGAGACUGGAACGGAGACACGGUACAGAGAACGAGGGGAGGCAGCAGUAGGGAAAGUGCCGAAAUGGGCGAAAGGGUGAAGGAGCAAGGCCGAGUGAGUGAUGAAGGUCUACGGAUCGUAAAACUCUGUUAUUAGGGAAGAAAAAAAGUGUAAGAAAAGAUGCACGAAAUGACGGUAACUAAAAAGAAAGCAACGGCUAACUACGUG
rnacentral:rRNA from 1 species